rnacentral:lncRNA from 1 species
ACUCUUAUCUCCAAUGCCGAUAUACAGGCCCUCCUGUUUUAAACUGUAUUUGAACCCCAUUUCCCUUGUAUAUUUUAUUUUCUUUUUCCAAUGAGCCUUAUUUAUAUAUCGUGACUUAUUCUUAUCCAACCUGCCAAAGGUACUUCUGACACAAAUGACGGGCUCGAUAUCUAUGACAACACGGAAGUUGUUUACAAACCUCCUGUACCUGCCCCGGAAGAAUAUCGCGGCCCUAUAAUUUUUCAUCCAUUGGCUGACUCAGGACGUUCCUUUUGCCACACUUAUCUCCAACCCCAAUUUACACGCCCUCCUGUUAUAAACUGUAUGUAAAUCCCAUCACCCUUGUUUAUUGUUCUCUUUUUCCAUAUGAGCUUUAUUUAUAUAUCGUGACUUAUUCUUAUUCUCCCUGCCAAAGGUACUUCUGACACAAAAGACGGGCUCGAUAUCUAUGACAACACGGAAGUUGGUUACAAACCUCCUGUACCUGCCCCGGAAGAAUAUCGCGGCCCUAUAAUUUUUCAUCCAUUGGCUGACUCAGGACGUUCCUUUUGCCACACUUAUCUCCAACCCCAAUUUACACGCCCUCCUGUUAUAAACUGUAUGUAAAUCCCAUCACCCUUGUUUAUUGUUCUCUUUUUCCAUAUGAGCUUUAUUUAUAUAUCGUGACUUAUUCUUAUUCUCCCUGCCAAAGGUACUUCUGACACAAAAGACGGGCUCGAUAUCUAUGACAACACGGAAGUUGGUUACAAACCUCCUGUACCUGCCCCGGAAGAAUAUCGCGGCCCUAUAAUUUUUCAUCCAUUGGCUGACUCAGGACGUUCCUUUUGUCACACUUAUCUCCAACCCCAAUUUACAC